CAGCGAACCAAGUUGUAACGAGUUUCAGAGGGAGCCUGUUCCUGGUCUUUAAUAACGGGGCUAAGAACCCAGACCCUCAAGCACUGGCUCCAGGUUCCCUACCUUACUCCAGCAAGGUUACUGUGUAUAUUCUCGUUUCUCUCCUCUUUCCAAUAAAAUGAUUUUGUUUCUCCUUUUUUUAAAAAAAGUGAUACAGAAAUGCACAUACACGAGAGGGGGACACAGGCGGCUUCCCAGCUCUCUCCGCCAUCUCUGCCUGCAGCGCACAGCUAGAUUAACCUCCAGUUGACCUCCACGCACACGUCAGGUCUUUCACAAGACUGAAAGCACACCGAGGAUACCGUCAAACUUCCGGGAAUGGAACUUCCACGGGCUGCACUUGGGAGACAUUUUCUAAAUCUGGCCUUGAGGCUCUUGAGCUUCUCGUCCACACUGAAGACAUAAAAAGUUAAGUCUGGAGAGAAAAGAAAGAGGAUGUCUUUGGAGUGAGUUGGGCUAUGCGUCCUCUCCUCACCGCAUGGAUUCCUGCCACAGACCCCAGCCUGGAGCCGAUGCAAACUUUUGGAUUUCUCAACAUCGUGUGCAGCCUGUGGGAAAGUUGUACUGGUCUAGAUGCAGUGUUUCUGCUUAAAUGCACCAUGCUUCAGUUCCUACUGACCAGGAAUUUCUGAGGCAAAGCAGCACAUCCUACAAGAUCAGUGACAAGUGGAUGCAAACCUCUACUUCAUGUUCCCAUCCACCUCUCUGGAGUUCCCAUCACCUCUGCCCCAGCC
rnacentral:lncRNA from 1 species